UACGUAGGGUGCAAGCGUUGUCCAGAAUUAUUGGGCGUAAAGAGCUCGUAGGCGGUCUGUCGCGUCGGCUGUGAAAACCCGGAGCUCAACUCCGGGCCUGCAGUCGAUACGGGCAGACUGGAGUUCGGCAGGGGAGACUGGAAUUCCUGGUGUAGCGGUGAAAUGCGCAGAUAUCAGGAGGAACACCGGUGGCGAAGGCGGGUCUCUGGGCCGAUACUGACGCUGAGGAGCGAAAGCGUGGGGAGCGAACAGG
rnacentral:rRNA from 1 species